rnacentral:rRNA from 1 species
GACGAACGCUGGCGGCGUGCUUAACACAUGCAAGUCGAACGGAAAGGCCCUGCUUUUGUGGGGUGCUCGAGUGGCGAACGGGUGAGUAACACGUGAGUAACCUGCCCUUGACUUUGGGAUAACUUCCGGAAACUGGGGCUAAUACCGGAUAGGAGCUCCUGCUGCAUGGGGGGGGUGGGAAAGUGUCGGCGGUGGGGGAUGGACUCGCGGCUUAUCAGCGUGUUGGUGGGGUGGUGGCGUACCAAGGCUUUGACGGGUAGCCGGCCGGUGAGGGUGACCGGCCACAUUGGCACUGAGAUACGCCGCAGACACCUGCGGGAGGCAGUAGUGGGGAAGAUUGCACAAUGGGCGGAAGCGUGAUGCAGCAACGCCGCGUGUGGGAUGACGGCCUUUGUGUUGUAAACCGUUUUCGCCUGUGACGAAGCGUGAGGGAGGGUAAUGGGUAAAGAAGCACCGCUAACCUCCGU